AGUAAAACAAAAAAACAACACCAGGCAGAACAGGCAUCAGAAGCAGCAUGUGUUCAACUGUAUCCAUGUAAAAUUUCUGUCUGCUUUCACAGUAAGGCUGAAGUUUUCUAGUCAGCCACCUCUCUGCAUAUGUACACCAGGGAAAUAUUUUCAGUACCUACAGGCUGGCACACUAGCAACAGGGAAACAGUUUCUAAUUGCAGCUGAGAGUUUUUAAUAGAAGCAGCUUGAUGCAAGCACUGAUGCUACAAGGAAGAACUGUGUAAAGGUUGCAGCCAUUGCAAUUGCCCUCUGCCACCACCUGCUGUCCUGAACCAAACAUAAAAGACCUUUUGUAAGGUCUGAUGAGAACUGUUCAUUCUGGAAAGCUCUGUGAAACAAAGCAGUUUCACUAUUAUUGUUUGACAGAUGAGCUCUUGUGACCCUCACGGCGCCUGAGCAGCAGCUGAAACAAGGUCUCAAAAACAUUAUGGUACUGAACAAGGAGAUCAAUUCCUGCUGUCAUCCAAAGAAAGACAUGUUACUGGAAGUUACCUGCUGUGAGAAUCCACAGAAGAACUGGUAUAAAAAUUGUGGUAAAAUGAAGCAGAGGUUCUAGAGAA